GAACAAACCUGUGUUCUUGGCUCCUGCCAGGAAGCUGCUGGACCCCCAGGCUGCACCAUCCAGCCACCCUGAGGCCCCUGCAGACACCCAGUUGACCACCAAGGAUGCGAUGCUGGAUGUCAGGACAUUACCAACUCUGAACCUAAGGGUGGGAAGUGACUGAGGGAACGGGACUGUUGCAGUGAGAGAUCAAGCCUGGACACAGGAGUGUUGGUUCCUCAAGACAAUGGGUCAGGACCUGGUGGAGUAGAGUGGUCUCAGGUCCCUCUUCCCCACACUGCACCCACCACUGGAUGGAGUCACCACCUGAAGACAAGCUGUCUUGACCUAGGGGACAGAUUUCUUCCCCCCUCAAUUCCCUGCCUUCUUCCGUACAUGGCCAUACAUCCUGUGACAGGAUGUAUCAACCCCAUGACACUGUCCAUAAUGAUGUAGAUGUGGAGGAAACAGAAGUGGUGUUUUUGUUGAACUCACCAGUGAUAUAACUGUGUAUAGGAUGAAAUCAGUGUUGAAUGUGAGAUGGCUGCAGAAAAAUAGCUAUUUUUUAAUAGGAACCUCAUCUCUGUUAUUUUACAGAAAUUCUGAUCCAGGACUCUAUCUAAUCCGGGGUGGGCAAACUACGGCCAGGGGGCUGCAUCCAGCCCUUCAGACAUUUUAAUCCAGCCCUUGAGCUCCCACUGGGGAGCAGGUUCUAGGGCUUGCCACAUUCCGACACUCCAGCCGGGGAGCGGGUCGGGGGCUUGCCCUGUUCCGCAUGUGCUGUGGCUCUGUGCGGCUCCUGGGAGCACUGGCAUGUCCCCCCUCCAGCUACUACAUAUGGGGGCAGCCGGUGGCUCCACACACUGCCCCCAUCCCAAGCACCACCUCCACAGUUCCCAUUGUCUGGGAGCUGCCUGGCCAUGGCUCCGUGUAGGAGCCGGAGCGAGGACAUGCCGCUGCUUCCAGGAGCUGUUUGAGGUAAGCGACAACUGGAGCCUGACCCCCUCCCUUACCCCAACACUCUGCCCCAGCCCUGAUCCCCCUCCCAACCUCUGAACACCUCGGUCCUAGCCCGGAGCACCCUUCUGCACCGCCAACCCCUCAUCCCUAGCCCCACCCCAAUGCCCUCUCCAAGCCUGGAGCCCUCUCCCACACCCUGAACUCAUUUCUGGCUCUACCCCAGAGGCCACAACCCGAGGAAGAGCCCUCACCCCCUCCCAUACCCCAGCCCCCAAUUUUGUGAGCAUUCAUGGCCCCAUACAAUUUCCAUACCCAGAGGUGGCCCUCGGGCCAAAAAAUUUGCCCACCCCUGAUCUAAUCCCUAGCCACAACUGCACUCAAGGGUUCACUAGUGGAAAGGGGGAUUAAAGGAAAACUGCCAUCUGGGAGAAGAUGCUUUAAUUGUUGAGGAUUUAUUAUUACCAAUGAAAAUAAAAUUAAACACAAAGUUACUCUUUAAUGAAGAAGAGGCUUCAUUAUGUGAUCAAGUGUAUUCUACUGGAAAAAUAAAACUUGCCUUGUUUUUCUUUUUGUUAGUAAUAUAGGAAAUGGGGCUAAUCCUGAAAAGCUUCUUUGAUGUAACUUGCCCCCCUUGGCCUAAAAUGUUCAGAUGUAAAACCUCACUCCAAAGGACGGGGUGGGGGAAUGUGUGUGAGAAAUAGAGUAGAGGAGAAAACUGA